rnacentral:sRNA from 1 species
AAUAAAAAAGGGAUAUGUACAAGCAAUUAAAAAAUAUAAACUGGGAACCGUGUAUAUAUAUAUAUAUAUAUAUUUGGGUAAUAUUAGAAACUAACUAUAGAAUUGAAAAGAAUAAAGUAACUAACCAUUGUCAGUUUUUCUAUGGAUAAAUAACUAUAUAACGGCAUAAGAAAAUACAAAACUAUCCUUGCAAGUUGAACCAAAAGCAAGCUUAUGUAGAUAUAUUUGAUGUUUUUUAGUAAAUCGCAUGAAACAUGUUAAAAUAGCACGAUAUUUAUAAAAACGAUGAUAUUUUAUAACGUACAUUUUACACAAAUAGCAUGUUAUAUAAACAAAUAUCGUUUCGUUUGAAAAGUUGAACCAUGAGCAAGCUUACACGAAGAUAAAAUAAUAGAUUUGAGAAAGUUUUAACAUUUAAAUCAUGUUUUUAGAAGAAAUUACAUGUGAUUUUAAUAAAUAAUGUGUUAUAUGAAAAAGUAGCAUGUUGAGAGAGAGAGAUUUCUAGUUAUCACGUGUAAUUCGAAAAAGUAGCGUGGUAUAAAAGAAAAUAACAUACAAUUUAAAAAGAAAACAUAACGACGGAGAUUCCAAGAAAUAAUCAAAAUCAAAUAAAAAAAUGACAAAUCUUCUGCAAAUUGAAGGAGAGAUGAUCUAUCAAUAUAAAUAACGUUUGGCAGCCUAGAUUUAUCGAAAAAGAGAUCAGGUGGUUGUGAUGGUGGAAGAUGUGGUAGUUGUGGUGGUGGAAGAAAGAAAGAUGAGAUGAUUCUAAGUGUUUUAUAUGAUUUUGAAAAAUAGCAUGUAAUAUAUAUAUAUAAUACGAAAAUGGGUAAAAAGGUAAUUGCAAGUGAAGAAAGAGAGUGUGCUCUGACACCAUGGCUAUUUUGUUAGUUCUUUUACAAUCCAUAGUCAUCUAGUGCAUAUUCUCUAUAUUAAACCGUCUUUUAUGUUUAAAAGAGUUUUUUUAAGUAUUUCAUUUUAACUAAUGUGAAACUCUCCUUCUUUCCAAAAUUAGACCACCUUCUUCAUUUUUAUUUGCUAUUUUCUUCAUCUACGUAACUAUCGUCAACGGCAUCCGUAUUCUCUGUUAGAACAUGAAAUAAAAUAAAUAAGAUUUACGCUUCUUGACUACAAACUUAUUGAGUUACUUUU